AUGGCUGCCGUGACCACCGCCUCCCUCUGCCCCGGCCUCGGCAAGCCCCGCCAAGGCCACGCGAAGCCGCCGAGAACGACGGUCUGCCAUUGCCUCCCUGCUCGGAGGGCGGAGGAGGGGGUGAAUCGGCGGGACGCCCUGCUCGGCGUCCUCCUCUCCGCCACCGCCGCGUUGUCGGCGCCGCUGCUCGUCCCCGCCGAGGCCUUCGCCGAGACCGCCGAGGCGCAGGAGGGGUUCACCGCGUACGAGGACGAGGCCAACAAGUUCACCCUCGUGAUUCCACAAGGCUGGCAGGUCGGUGCAGGUGAACGCAGCGGCUUCAAGAACGUGACGGCGUUCUUCCCCGAGCAAAACCCCAACUCCAGCGUCAGCGUCGUGAUCACCGGGAUCGGGCCGGACUUCACCAGCCUCAAGUCCUUCGGUAGCGUCGACGAGUUCGCCGAGAACUUGGUGACCGGCCUGGACAGGAGCUGGCAGAGGCCGGCGGGGCUCGCCGCGAAGCUCAUCGACUCCAAGGCAUCAAACGGCCUGUACUACAUCGAGUACACGCUGCAGAACCCCGGCGAGAAGCGCCGCCACAUCGUCUCCGCCAUCGGGAUGGCCUUCAACGGCUGGUACAACCGGCUGUACACGGUGACAGGGCAGUACAUCGACGACGAAGAGGAGUCAGCCAUAUACAAGCCUGAGAUAGAGAAGUCUGUCAAGUCGUUCAAGUUCACAUGA
rnacentral:rRNA from 1 species